rnacentral:lncRNA from 1 species
AAAAAAAGUUUCCAGCUCUGGAUUGAUUGACAUUUGUUUACUUAACUCUCUCCUUUUGAAAGCCUGCACACCUAUUUCAACCUUGAACAGUUUCCAACUGUGGUAUCCUGGAACACUUUUUCAUUUAGAAGUUCAGUGUUGCCAACCCAAACAAAGUAUAAUCAGCGAUGAUCCGAGCAGACCAAGCUGUCUAGCACCAUACAAUGUAUCUGCAUACUAAUUUCCAAAUUCCCUCACAUUUCCAGAGAACUAAUGGGAUCAUUUUCAUUCUGUUACAGCAACUCAACAGUUACUGAAUCACCAUCUGUGUUUUCGUUAACCUGAAUCAGAUAUGAAUUCUGUUAUUGCAAGCAUUUUGGGAGAUUUCAUUAUGGAAUUCAGAAUUAUGAUAUGUCAUCCAUCCUCCAAAGCCCUGGGAAAUAGUCUUUUAUUUAUCUGCCUCAGAAGAGAACCAAAUGAGAGAAUGUUUGAUGCUGAAGUGGAAUUUUGUUCAAUUUUUAACCCCAUGUUACUUGAAAUGUGGUUCCUAAGAAUAAACUAUAAUUGCUCGGUUUACUUGUAUCUUAUUCAUCUUUGUAGCUCCUUUGUUCUCCAAGGUAUCUCACUGUCUUAGUCCGUUCAGGCUGCUAUAACAAAAUAGCACAGACUGGGUAGCCUAUAAAGAACAGAAACCUAUUUCUCAUAGUUCCAGAGGCUAGAAUUCUGAAAUCAGGGUGCCAGUGUGGUUGGGUGAAGGCUCUCUUCCAGGUCGCAGACUUCUCAUUGUCUCCUCAUGUGAUAGAAGUGGGCAAGGGAGCUCUCGG